GUGCUUGCUUCAGCAGGACAUAUACUAAAAAUGGAACAGUAAAAGGUUAGCAUGGUCCCUGAACAAGAAUGACACUCAAAUUUUUGAGACAUUUCAUAUUUUA
ensembl:snRNA U6 U6 spliceosomal RNA